rnacentral:tRNA from 2 species
GCCCAGGUGGCGAAACUGGUAGACGCACUACCUUGAGGUGGUAGCGCUGGCAACGGCAUGGAGGUUCAAGUCCUCUCCUGGGCA